rnacentral:rRNA from 1 species
UACGGGGGGGGCAAGCGUUGUUCGGAAUUACUGGGCGUAAAGGGCCAGUAGGCGGCCAACUAAGUCCGACGUGAAAUCCCCAGGCUUAACCUGGGAACUGCGUCGGAUACUGGAUGGCUUGAAUUCGGGAGAGGGAUGCAGAAUUCCAGGUGUAGCGGUGAAAUGCGUAGAUAUCUGGAGGAAUACCGGUGGCGAAGGCGGCAUCCUGGACCGAGAUUGACGCUGAACGGCGGAAGCUAGGGGAGCAAACGGG